rnacentral:lncRNA from 1 species
AAUCACCAAUACUUCACCCAUAAGGCUUACCACCCUUAAUUCACCCAUUAUCAACAAUUAAUCAUGAAUAAACAUUAAACAACACAAGAGAUAUCAAUACAAUUCACUUUACACAUAAUUCCAUCAACUUUGAAUUUAUAGAAAUAGACCCACUUCAUAAACACAUUUUAGGGUUUUGUAGAAUACAAGGAUUCAUGGAGUUUUUUUCAUCUUAAAACAUCAAAUAAACAUCAAUAAUAUCAUAACUUAUCAUUUGAAAUCGUUUCAUGCAAGAACCCUUGAGUUUGAGUAGAAAUUAGGCUUUUUCACAAACUUUGGAAAAGUUGAAAACCAUUUGAAAUUGGCUCUAGGGUGAUAGCUUGCCCUAGAUAAAGAACUCCCAUACCUUUACUAAGAUUCCCCAAGAAAUUUGAUGAAGAAAACGUCUUGCAUCCACAACCCUAGCUCCCACUUUUUCUUCUUCUUCUUCCUUGAGUUAGAGAGAGAUAUAGAGAGAGAAAGAACUUGGGAUUUGAUUUGGGAAAAUAAUGAGUUAAAGGAAUGUUUUAAGAUCCAAAACCAUUUAAAAUCAACCCCACAUAAUAAACAAUUAAAACGAAAUUACAUAAAAACCCC